CAUCGAACAAUACUAGUUCUGCAAGUGUUAUGUUAAGUGUACAAUUACACACUUAACAUAACACUUGCAGAACUAGUAUUGUUCGAUGC